UACAGAGGGUGCUAGCGUUGUUCGGAAUCAUUGGGCGUAAAGGGCGUGUAGGCGGUUUUGUUAAGUCAUGUGUGAAAUCCCUCGGCUCAACCGGGGAACGACGCAUGAAACUGGCAGCUAGAGUACCAAAGAGGGGGUGGGAAUUCCGGUCGUAGCGGUGAAAUGCGUAGAAUAUCGGGAGGAACACCUGUGGGCGAAGGCGGCCCCCUGGUUGGAUACGUGACCGCUGAUAGCGAAACGUGGGGAGCAACAA
rnacentral:rRNA from 1 species